GUGCUCUUCCAAUCUUGAUUUUUCUGGUUAAUUCCGAUAACGAACGAGACUCUGGCAUGCUAACGAAUUAUGCGACCCCCGAGCAGUCGGCGUCCAACUUCUUAGAGGGACAAGUGGCGUUCAGCCACCCGAGAUUGAGCAAUAACAGGUCUGUGAUGCCCUUAGAUGUCCGGGGCUGCAUGUGUGCUACACUGACUGGCUCAG